UUGUUUCCUGCGAAUAUCGAC
rnacentral:piRNA from 1 species